CAGCCGCCGCGGUAAUACGGAGGGUGCAAGCGUUAAUCGGAAUUACUGGGCGUAAAGCGCACGCAGGCGGUCUGACAAGUCAGAUGUGAAAUCCCCGGGCUUAACCUGGGAACUGCAUUUGAAACUGUCAGGCUGGAGUCUUGUAGAGGGGGGUGGAAUUCCAGGUGUAGCGGUGAAAUGCGUGGAGAUCUGGAGGAAUACCGGUGGCGAAGGCGGCCCCCUGGACAAAGACUGACGCUCAGGUGCGAAAGCGUGGGGAGCAAACAGGAUUAGAUACCCGCGUAGUCCCUGUCUCUUAUAC
rnacentral:rRNA from 1 species